AACGAACGCUGGCGGCAUGCCUAACACAUGCAAGUCGAACGAAGCCUUCGGGCUUAGUGGCGCACGGGUGCGUAACGCGUGGGAAUCUGCCCCUUGGUUCGGAACAACAGUUAGAAAUGACUGCUAAUACCGGAUAACGACGAAAGUCCAAAGAUUUAUCGCCGAGGGAUGAGCCCGCGUAAGAUUAGGUAGUUGGUGGGGUAAUGGCCUACCAAGCCGACGAUCUUUAGCUGGUCUGAGAGGAUGAUCAGCCACACUGGGACUGAGACACGGCCCAGACUCCUACGGGAGGCAGCAGUGGGGAAUAUUGGACAAUGGGCGAAAGCCUGAUCCAGCAAUGCCGCGUGAGUGAUGAAGGCCUUAGGGUUGUAAAGCUCUUUUACCAGGGAUGAUAAUGACAGUACCUGGAGAAUAAGCUCCGGCUAACUCCGUGCCAGCAGCCGCGGUAAAGUCACAUG
rnacentral:rRNA from 1 species